rnacentral:rRNA from 1 species
AGUACCUUCGUUUCCUCGGUGGGUUCGCCCACCGGCUGGACAACAUUCAAACCCUUUGUAGUUGCAAUCAGCGUCUGAAUAAACUUAAUAGUUACAACUUUCAACAACGGAUCUCUUGGUUCUGGCAUCGAUGAAGAACGCAGCGAAAUGCGAUAAGUAGUGUGAAUUGCAGAAUUCAGUGAAUCAUCGAAUCUUUGAACGCACAUUGCGCCCCUUGGUAUUCCAUGGGGCAUGCCUGUUCGAGCGUCAUUUGUACCUUCAAGCCUUGCUUGGUGUUGGGUGUUUGUCUCGCCUCUGCGCGCAGACUCGCCUCAAAACAAUUGGCAGCCGGCGUAUUGAUUUCGGAGCGCAGUACAUCUCGCGCUUUGCACUCAUAACGACGACGUCCAAAAAGUACAUUUUUACACUCUUGACCUCGGAUCAGGUAGGGAUACCCGCUGAACUUAAGCAUAUCAAU